UACAGAGGGUGCAAACGUUGCUCGGAAUUACUGGGCGUAAAGCGCGUGUAGGUGGCUUUGUAAGUCCAACGUGAAAGCCUGGGGCUCAACCCCAGAAGUGCGUAGGAUACUGCGAAGCUGGAGUCCUGAAGAGGAGAGCGGAAUUCCCGGUGUAGAGGUGAAAUUCGUAGAUAUCGGGAGGAACAUCUGUGGCGAAGGCGGCUCUCUGGGCAGGUACUGACACUGAGACGCGAAAGCGUGGGGAGCAAACAGG
rnacentral:rRNA from 1 species